rnacentral:rRNA from 1 species
UACGGAGGGUGCAAGCGUUGUCCGGAUUUAUUGGGUUUAAAGGGUGCGUAGGCGGUUCUUUAAGUCCGGGGUGAAAGCCCACUGCUCAACAGUGGAACUGCCCUGGAAACUGGCGAACUUGAGUACAGACGAGGGUGGCGGAAUGGAUGGUGUAGCGGUGAAAUGCAUAGAUACCAUCCAGAACCCCGAUUGCGAAGCAGCUGCCUAGACUGUAACUGACGCUGAGGCACGAAAGCGUGGGGAGCGAACAGG